UCCUACGGGAGGCAGCAGUAGGGAAUCUUCCGCAAUGGACGAAAGUCUGACGGAGCAACGCCGCGUGAGCGAUGAAGGCCUUCGGGUCGUAAAGCUCUGUUGUUAGGGAAGAACAAGUACCGGAGUAACUGCCGGUACCUUGACGGUACCUAACCAGAAAGCCACGGCUAACUACGUGCCAGCAGCCGCGGUAAUACGUAGGUGGCAAGCGUUGUCCGGAAUUAUUGGGCGUAAAGCGCGCGCAGGCGGUCCUUUAAGUCUGAUGUGAAAGCCCACGGCUCAACCGUGGAGGGUCAUUGGAAACUGGGGGACUUGAGUACAGAAGAGGAAAGCGGAAUUCCACGUGUAGCGGUGAAAUGCGUAGAGAUGUGGAGGAACACCAGUGGCGAAGGCGGCUUUCUGGUCUGUAACUGACGCUGAGGCGCGAAAGCGUGGGGAGCAAACAGGAUUAGAUACCCUGGUAGUCCACGCCGUAAACGAUGAGUGCUAAGUGUUAGAGGGUUUCCGCCCCCUGGUGGGGCCCCUCGGGGACUCAGCGUGAUAUUCUGUAAAUAUCUUUAUGGG
rnacentral:rRNA from 1 species